GCGUGAUGCGUCCUAAGUUGUUGCAGUUAAAAAGCUCGUAGUCUAAUGUAUGGGAGUUGCGGUGUGGGUGCUUGGUUGGUUUUGCCGACUAGACAAUACUCGCUCCGCUUCCCGCUUGUUCCCUUCUCGUUUCUAAAAGGAAAAUGUUUCGCUGUUAAAAAAACUCCUCCCUCAACAAGGUUGUCUUGUUGAUAUUUAUUAUGGUGGGAUGAUAAGAUAUGCUCCCGCAUUUUGUUGGUUUUUUUGGUGUGAUGAUGAUGAUGAAGAGGGAUUGUUGGUAUUCUUAUUAUUUGUUGUAAGAGGAAUUCUUGUAGUUUUUUGGAAAGAACUACUGCUGCGCAUCUUCUACCAAUGAUGUUUUGUUGAUCAACAACGUUUGUUGAUCGAUCGAAGAUGAUUACCAUCAUCGUCUUAUAAUCAUAAUGCCGACUUGUUGCGAUUGUGUGGUGUCAUUGAUGAGAACAGCAGCACAUGAUGAUCAUCAUCUUCGUUGUCCUCCGGAGGAGUAUCGCCGCGCUGAUGAUACUUAAAUUGAUGACGGGCGCACCACGAGGGAGGAGCUGCUUCUUUGUGACUCCCCAUCAUAGUGGUGCCUUCCGUCAUUCCUUUAAGUUUCAGCCUUGCGACCAUACUCCCCCCGGAACCCAAAGACUUUGAUUUCUCAUGUGCUGCUGCUCUGCUCAUUAAAUGACACAAAACAAUCGCAAGUCGGCAUAGUUUAUGGUUUAGACUACGAUGGUAUCUAAUCAUCUUCGAUCCCCAAACUUUCGUUCUUGAUCAAUGAAAACAUCUUUGGUAGAUGCUUUCGCAUUAGUUCGUCUUUCCAAAAUCCAAGAAUUCCACCUCUGACAUGUAAAUACGAAUACCCCCAAUUGUCCCUCUUCAUCAUUCUCAGACCACUAAAACCAACAAAAUACGGACCGAGCCUAUCUCAUCAUCCCAUACUAAUUCAUAUCAAGAUAACCUUGCUGUUGAGCGAGUUGUUUUACUUACAGUGAAACAUUUCUUCUUUUAAAAAAAGAGAAAACCCGGGAGGAAGAGCAAGUAGUGCUGACUCGGCGGAACAACCAAAACACCCCCCCCGCCGCUCCUCCAAAUCAUACUACUACCAUUUUUAUUGCUGCAACUUCUUUGUAGUCUACUGGAGCAGGAAGAACUACCGCUGUGCGGCCCCCCAAAAAA
rnacentral:rRNA from 1 species